AUCGCUUCUCGGCCUUUUGGCUAAGAUCAAGUGUAGUAAAAGAGGAACUGUGCCAUAUUUAAGCUUGUGUAUCUAAUGUAUUUCACUCAACAUUAUGGUCUCCAUGUGCAUCCAUUUUUGUACAAAUGACUCAAGCUUAUCUUUUUUUAUGGCAGAGUAGUACUCCAUUCUGUGUAAAUACCAG
ensembl:snRNA U2 U2 spliceosomal RNA